ensembl:lncRNA LINC00343 long intergenic non-protein coding RNA 343
GAGGCUAUGGGAAAGAAACCUGGAAAGGUAGGGAGGUAUGGAUAUGGACAAGCUAUGCCAAGGAGCAGGGCUUUGUCAUGGAGAGUGACUAGGUGCUUUUACAUAGGAAAGUCACCUGAUAAUAUUAAAACCUGUGAAAUAUCACUCUGGUGGAAGUGUGAAUGAAUUUGAAAGGGGUGUAACACUGUUCUACUUUGUUUACUCCUCAGUACCCUUGGCUGUGUACAUUUGAGUAAAGAGAGCACUAUAAAAUCAAAAACCAAUGAAAUGGUUUCCAGAACACAGAACUAUUAAGCUUAAGAAAAGGACAGAAGGAACUGAAGAGAGAGGAACUGUUUUGGAGCAUCACACUUCCACCUCAGAAGAAAUAAGGAAGGAAGGAGGAGGGUGUUCCCACGGCUCUUCAACCAGGCCGGCUCUUCAGCCUACAUCCCCAUCUCAUCAAGUAAAAGGGAUUUUUCAACUGGACCAACCAGAUGGUUUAACAGUGCACUCCCACACCAUUCAACUACGCAAGGGAGAUACACUUAACAUAUGCAGUCGUAUAACACCUACUAACAUUUUCAAACAUUAAACCUUUAAAAAAGAGUUCUAAAGAAAUAGAAGCUUGAAGUAUCAUCUCUCAAGUAUAUAGACACUACUUCAUGGUGUGGUAAUAUAUGCAUAUAGAAGCUAGUAAACACCUCCAGGAGAUGCAAAAGGAAUUAGAACUGCCACAAGGUGCAAGCAAAACCUUGAGUUCUGUUUUUCCUCUUCUAAUCCUUCACCCAUCUGAGCUAAAGUCUAGACCUAAGGAGGCUACUAAUUCAGGGAUCGAGUAAUCUGCCAAGCAAGAGUUUAUUCAAGCACAGUUUGAAAUAAAGGUUUCAAAUGCAUAGCCUGUCGAUACUUUGGAAGGAUUCUCAUCAUAACGAGUAUGCAAUUUGCUAUAAAGAAGAAUGCCCAUUACGGACUAAAUGUUUAUGUCCUCCUAAAAUUCAUAUGUUGAAGGCCUAACUCUCAAUGUGAUGAUUAUGUGGAGAUGGUGCCUUUGGGAGGAUAUGGGAGGACACCUGAGACGGCAGGCCAGAAGUCACUCAGUAGGAGAAACAUCCGUUAGAAGUAAUAAUGUGGGAUUGCUGAAGUAAAGACUAUAGGAAGAAAAAAGUGUCUGUGUGUAGGAAACGGAAAGGGAGAGAAAAAUACACUGAGAUGGUAAAGUAAGGAAGUGGAAGAUCAGCAGAAUGUGCAGAUGCCAAGCCAUCCAAGAAAAUCAUCUCUUGUGAUUGUUGCGAAGUCAACUAGCUAAUGUGACUCACUGCUAGGCUGUUGGAUCUGAGACUUAUGUGGGAUAAUUUAGAAACUUGCUAGUGUCUUAAGAUCAAUUACUCACCAAUGAGAGUGGCAUUGAACUGUGAAUGUUCCUCCUAGAUUUUCCAUGAAGACUAAUGGUUUUGUCUUGUCUUGAAUUUGUUUUAAUUACAAUUUGUAUACAUCCUGUUCCACCCUGAAAUUUUUAUUUUCCAAAUGGUUUUUCAUUUAAAGAGACUAAAUAAAGGUUCUGACUGAGUUGU